rnacentral:lncRNA from 1 species
UAUUUCCAAUGUUUCAUAAGUACAUAUAUGAAUCAAUAUGCAAUCAUCCGCAGGUAUUUACAAUAUAGAAGUUUACAAAAUCCUUCAGGAAAUGGUAAUUUUACAAUAUAGGUUGACAAAAUAUCACUCAACAAAGUUAGGAAACAGUACAAUCUAGCUCACACAAAGAUAACGUUUAAACUAUUGAAGUUAUUAUUCAUGUUGUCAUCGGCCCUCCUCCUGGAAACUAUGUAUCAUGUCAUGCUGAUUGUUAUUGGCAGCACCAAGUAGCCCACUAUGCAAUCAUACCUAGCAUAUUUACAAGACCAUCAGAUAUGUUAGAUAUAAAUAGAUAGAAGAGAAUUGUAACAAAUGUAAAAACUGAAUCAUGUGUUAUCCAAAAUUCUUAAAUCUUACACUGCUACAAACGAGAAUAGCAUAAUAUCUGCUACAUAUAAGUUUCAUGUAGAUCUGUAUGAAUUAGGACAACCAAGUUAUGUGUAAAACAUACAAUGUUAAGUACUUUGCAUAUCAUGCAAACAAGAAACAGAAAAACACUUGUCUGACAAUGGGGGACAAUACAUAAUACAAUGCACAAGAUUCAUUCAAUUAACAUAUGUGCAAUAAUACGUGACAAUGUAGUAACUUCAGCAAAAGAAGGCAUGUACCUGUACUUCAGCAAAAGAAGGCAUGUACCUGUAUGUUUACGAGAGAGAUACACAAACUUCAAUUGUUUUGUUUUGUAAAAUAGAGACCUGUACGUUUAGGAGAAGGAUAUGGAAUUGUUAAUCAAAUAAGAAAAUAUAGAUAACGGACACUAGAUGCAUGCAUCGAUGCUUUGAACUGGACACUUUCCCACAUUUUGAGAAUAUCCAUGGAAACCAAACACAACACUUGACCAGAUUUGCAGCCCGCUUCCUAAAGAAAAUUCUGUUAUUUUUUGAGAUUUUUUUUUGUUGCCGUGCACCUGAUGGGGAUUUCGAGCAACAUGAACACAAAUUGUGAAGGAAAACUUCAGCCCUAACACAUCCGCACGGCCGCGCAGAGCUGGUAAUUGAUGAACUAUGUGGCACAUCGGCCAGGCUAGAUCCAGCACCUUGCCGGAAGUGGGAAGUGGCUAUUGCGCGUCAGUAUACUGUAUGCAAGGCAGAUUUUGAGGAAAAAUACUAAUCAUUAUGGCCAAUAUAGAUUUUAUGCUAGACUUUUUGUUGACCUUCUAUUAGAGUGUUCUUUCUAAGCUAAGACAUGAAAAGGAAAAAAGAAGAAUACUACUACUCGAAACAAGUUGUGUACGUGCCCCAUAUUUUGUGUGAAGAAACUGGCGAUGGGACUAGCUCAAAAACAUGAAAGACUUGAUGUGUUUUGCAAGUUUGUCUGUGAACUUUAUUUGAUAAUUAUGUUGCCAUUGGUGGUUAAGGCACUAUGGAAUUUCGAGCAUGACUUCAUGCCUCCAGGCAUCUAGAAGUAACAUGCAUGUAGAAAUAUAACACGAAGUGCAGGUAUAAGCCAUCAAGUAAUAAAUUUAGCAUUUCCUUCAAAUUUUUAAGCAAUGGGAUGACUAUAGAACAAGAAAAGACAAGGUAUAUCAAAUCAAUAUUAAGAUUGAAUUACAAGGAAAAUUCCUCAAAAAAUUAUAGUUGCCAAGAUAGGGAGAAAUGAUGAGGAAUAAAAAAGUCAAAGAUUAUAGUAAAAGUAUAUGGUUGUAAAUGAAUUGCUAUGGAUCUCAAUGCCAUCAAUCUUUCAUUAUCGUUCCUAUAUAGUAAAAUAUCAUGUUCAAGAACAGUAUGCAGAUUCGUCAAAAUAGCCAAAAGUGCAUUUGUGUUUACAAACAAUGUUCGAACAUCACACCCCACUAUCUUCCACAAAUAUUACUUGGACAAAGUGGUCAGCUAAGUAGAUCCCAUGGAGAUAAAUUAAGAGUUGCCAGAAUUUGAUUGUUUAGUGGAAGGAUAAGAUAUCAUGGUACUCUUCUCCUUGGCAAAAAGGCAGAUAGCAUAGUCAGCUGCCCCACUGGCAAUUAACAUCCUUGCUGCUUGCAAAGAGUAGCAAGGAAACAACAGGAGCAUCUCAUGGCCGUUUACUUAUUACACUAGCAUCUUAAACUAACUAGCAGAUCUCAUAAAUUCUACAUUGCUGCUGCUCGCAAUGCUAGUCUAUCGUUGGCUGUAACUUGCAUGUCAGAAAAAAAAAGUGGCCACGUUUUGUGCAUCAUGGUUCAGUACAAGAAAAUGUGAGAGCCCUUGGAGAACUAUGCUAGAGCAGAGCAGUAAUCACUUGGAAAGGAAAGAAAAACAGAGCGAGAGGGUCGACCUCGUUCUGUGGGGAAUCAUGGUGGUCGGGGCGGACGAUCUCAUUGUCGAGCUCGAGCGUGGGUGCCAGUCGUCACCGUCCAAGGAACUGGAGAGGCG